rnacentral:rRNA from 1 species
UACAGAGGGGGCAAGCGUUGUUCGGAAUUACUGGGCGUAAAGGGCGCGUAGGUGGCCUUCUAAGUUGAACGUGAAAUCCCUGGGCUCAACCCAGGAACUGCGUCCAAGACUGGGAGGCUUGAAUCCGGGAGAGGGAUGCGGAAUUCCAGGUGUAGCGGUGAAAUGCGUAGAUAUCUGGAGGAACACCGGUGGCGAAGGCGGCAUCCUGGACCGGUAUUGACACUGAGGCGCGAAAGCCAGGGGAGCAAACAGG